CAGUAGCCACGGGAAUACGUAGGUGGCAAGCGUUGCCCGGAAUUAUUGGGCGUAAAGGGCUCGCAGGCGGUUUCUUAAGUCUGAUGUGAAAGCCCCCGGCUCAACCGGGGAGGGUCAUUGGAAACUGGGAAACUUGAGUGCAGAAGAGGAGAGUGGAAUUCCACGUGUAGCGGUGAAAUGCGUAGAGAUGUGGAGGAACACCAGUGGCGAAGGCGACUCUCUGGUCUGUAACUGACGCUGAGGAGCGAAAGCGUGGGGAGCGAACAGGAUUAGAUACCCCCGUAGUCCCUGUCUCUUAUAC
rnacentral:rRNA from 1 species